GCCGUCCCUUCUAUAUAAUUAAGAGUAUAUUGAUCUUGUUUUUGCACUGCCUUGGCUGUCAGUAUUUUGCUUGAUAACCUUUUGCAUUGAUAAGGCCUGUUGUGUCCUUCAACCAAAAGGAAAAAAAAAGAUCAGAACUUAAAUUCAGCUAGUUGAACCAUGUUGUGGAAAUUUUGCUGAAGUCUCAAAUAGCAUCCUAUUAAUAAGCAAUGCUGUUACCGAGCACACACACACACAUCACUGUCAGAUACAAUUUCCAUGAAUACCUGUUUUGGCAAUUCUUGGACAUAUUGGGUCCAACUUGGCCUAUCCAUGUCGACAACAGAAUCAGUCUUACACAACUUAACCAAAUUUUAUAAAUAGUUUUAGAUCAGCAAACAUUAAAAGCAAUAAACAGAGAUCAGAGUAUCAAUUUUGCUAGUAAAUUACAUGGCAAAAGGAUAUAGAUAUGACACCACCUUGUUCCACAUUGAUGGGAUGAUUAUGAACAGUGGCAAACACGCCCACCUCCCCAAAAGGCUCUUACAUCCACCUAUCACAUGGUGUUGCUUCCCAUGUGACCUUCAAUUGUGAGGGACCAUGUCUUCCUCUGAAUAUAUAUAUAGUCCAGCUAUUUAGCCUUACUAACCAUCACAGGGUUAGCAUUCACACUCAAAAAUCUCAAGUUCUCCUCCACUUUCUCCCAUAAAUCUUUCCAUUCAUUUUAUAGAGUAGCAAGAUGAUCAGUACCAAGAAACUGCUUAAAUUGGCAAGGAAAUGGCAAAAGCUGGCUGCAAUCAAGCGAAAGAGAAUUACAUUGCCACAAACCAUUGGAAUUACUAAUACUAGCAACUGCAGCACAUCACCAAUGUCUGAAAAGGGCCAUUUUGCUGUGUAUUCAGCAGAUAAAAAAUGUUUCCUUCUUCCAUUAGAAUAUCUUAAAAAUGAGAUCAUCAAACAGCUGUUCAACAUGGCAGAAGAAGAAUUUGGAUUGCAAAACAAGGGGCCUCUCACACUGCCAUGUGACACAGAGCUUAUGGGAUAUGCAUUUGGUUUGAUAAAACAGCAGGCUACUAGAGAUGUUGAGAAUGCUUUCUUGACAUCCAUAUCUAGCUAUUGUUUUUCACUGUCUUUCUGUCUGCAAGAUCAAGUAACUAGCAACCAGUUACCAAUUUGCAGUUUUUGAAGAGUUAUAAUUAGAUUUGUAAAAAAGGCACACAAUAGCGUAUUUUCAUACAAUUUAUCAAAAG
rnacentral:misc_RNA from 1 species